rnacentral:rRNA from 1 species
UACAGAGGGGGCAAGCGUUGUUCGGAAUUACUGGGCGUAAAGGGCGCGUAGGCGGCCUGCUAAGUCGAACGUGAAAUCCCUGGGCUCAACCCAGGAACUGCGUCCGAUACUGGUUGGCUUGAGUCCGGGAGAGGGAUGUGGAAUUCCAGGUGUAGCGGUGAAAUGCGUAGAUAUCUGGAGGAACACCGGUGGCGAAGGCGACAUCCUGGACCGGUAUUGACGCUGAGGCGCGAAAGCCAGGGGAGCAAACGGG